rnacentral:ncRNA from 2 species
CGCUGACUUUAGGGGUGUCCUUUGCGGACUGAGAUAAUACCCUUUGAACCUGAUCCGGGUAAUGCUGGCGAAGGGAAAAGUGACGACAACGCC